ensembl:lncRNA
CCCCUUCCCUGAACUUGUCUGCAUGGCUGCCAGGGUCCAGUCUUCUGCAGCAGGAGGACCCCAUACCCCACAGGUGGGUUCCCCCAGCCUGCUCUGAGCCUCAGAGCAGGGUUGGCCUUCAAUCAGCUGGGCUGGUAGCCUGGGCCUCCACUGCCUCCCUGCCUUGGGGCUCUCCCCAGCAGAUGUCAGCCUAAUCUGACAGCAACGUCCCUUACCUCCUCCUGACGCAGGCGGUGCCUCAAGAGAGCAGAGAGUUUUGGCAUUCACCAGCUUGCCAAUGGGGGUGAAUUUUGUCCUCUAGAUUGGACUCCACAUCCUCCACUGCAUUUGAGUUGCGAAAAAAACCAUUCGGGAAUGUUAUGCUAGUUUAGCACCAAUAAGAUACAGCUUCCUUUUCACUCCAAUCUGUCCUCAUACGUUUUAGGGGGGUUCCAACAGAUCAGGAUACCAAAGGAUAGAUUAAGCUUCUUUUUCUCCACAUUUGUGAUUCCAUAAGAAAGGGAUAUCACAGACAGAAGUAAAACUGAAAAAUAGGAUAUUUGAUGUAGAUUAGCAGAUUCUUUGUGAUAAAUCUUUCAUUUGCUCCAUGCAAGGUAAGCAGAAAUAUUGAUUGCCUUCCUUUGGAAUAAAACCUGCUGUGAAAGUUUGAUGUCAGCAGUGUAAGGAAGCCUGAGAUAGGCAAUUUUAAGCAGUCUGCCUUAUGGUUCCUCUUCACUCUUCUGAAGGAAGCGGAAGGGUAUGUAUGUGUGUAACAUCUCUAAGGUAAAAAAACUAACAAUGUAUGGCCCUCAGAAAUUACAACCUAAAUAGACAUUACAGGCAAAACACAUCAAAAGUUAAAAAGGGCAUUGAGAAGCAACAUGACUUGCCCAAAGCAAUCACAGAAAAGCAGUGGCAGAGCUUAUAUGGGAAGAAGAUUCACAACUCAGUUUGACUGUGUGAAAUGCUUUACCAUCUAAUCAGCUAACAAGAAAGAAUUCCUCUUGUAACACGAUGUACUCAUUUCCAACAGUCAAAUUGCUGAAGACGAAUUUCAUUUGGAAUUCAUUUUAAAGGGAAUAUUUUUAAACCUUCUUGCAUACUGAGUUGCUGUGAAAAGUAAAAAGCAGCCACAAGAAAUAUCCCACAAACCACUUUAUAGCACAAGGGACAAAAAUUAAAGGACAAAAUAAUUACAAAAAGAAGAUCAGAAGCAAAAUAUGAUGAGAUACUAGGAGAAAUGCUCUUUCAAUGAGUGCUACAAUAAGUAGAAGUACCUGAUCUUACUCACCUGGUAUAAAUUAUUUUGCAUGCAUGCUGGUUGAUAUACCCAGUGGGUUUUGCUACUGGUUUCAAGGAAGGGGAAUUUGGAAUUCAAGGCAGGGAAAUCUGGCUCAGCAGAGGUCAGUUCUGUUACUCCAUGGGAGCAGAGCACUACGGAAUGAAAGUCUCCUCCUGAGAACAGCGCUAUUCCCUCAACACGUAGUUGCUCCCAAGACAGACCUAUACAUACUUACUUUUCUUCAAUAGCCAAUCAAAAAAUAUGUAUGCAUGCUUUUUUUUUUUUUUUUUUUUUUUUCAUACACCCUUAGGUGAAAAGAAAAGGAAACAAACCUAGUAAAGGCUAGGUUCCAUUAGCUCUGGGCUCCGGGUAUGCAAGGGUAUUCAGAAUAUAAGUGUGAAGGGCACCUCCAGCUAAAAUUAUGACAGUCCACAGCUCACACCUCAGUAAUAGAGACAGUUGUUUUGUCUCACAGCACCAGAAAGGGCUGCAAGCAACCCCAGAGCCAAGCAAGAAUUUAAAUACAUCUUUGAGGCCUCUCCCAUUUAGAAAAUCGCUUAUGUCUACAGUUAAUACUAAGGGUUACUUCUGAAUAAACAAAUGCUUCCCUGAAUCAGGUAUAUAAAAGUAUCAGAAGCUUAGAUCAAGGAGCAGAUCUGUCCAAACGAGACAUUAGAGGCAUGAUGAAAUGCUGCAGAUCUUCCCUUUAAUGAAACUUAGUUUAUGAAACCCUUUAAUAAAGCUGCAGUGAGGAUAUUUACAUUCCCAAUAGAGAAGAGCUCUCUCUUGAAACAGGAAAAAAUUACCACAAUUAAUAAUAUCCUGAUAUUUUUCAUAAUGCCAGUAGAUUGCAUGUUUUUGUUGAGCUGCUCAUCAUUCUGAAUAUCUGUGCAUCCCUUUAUUCCACAUUCAUAUCUACCCCCCACUGGGGCACUUUAAGGAUGAAAAUUCAUUGCUGUAUAUUAAAAAUAGCAGAUGAAUCUCAUGAUUUCUGUUGUAUCUCCCCUGUUUAUUCAGCAUACAGAACACAAAAUCAAUGGCAUCCUGCCUGAAGAAUUGGGUUAUUUUUAUUUUUGCUCUUUCUUUUUUUUUUUUUAAUAUUGCUGCAGAUUUUUAGCUUUACUCUUGAAACUGUGAUGUGCUGUACCACUAUAUUUUCACUCCAUGAGUUUUCAAAUCAUCUGCAUUUUCUGUGCUAAUCUUAGAUGUUCAAAAUCAAGCAAAAUAGUAUUUAUAUCCCAUUCAUCUCUUCCUCCUGUGUAUCCGCGUGUUUCUAUUCCAUUGCCAAGAGCCUGGGUUGAGAUACUCAGAAAUUAUUCUCAAGGGGGUAGAUCCAAGUAAGCACUUACACCAAAGCUUAUGCAUCACUGAAUGGAAGCUUGGUCUUCAAAGGCAGAGGUACUCCUUCCUUUCUCCUUGAGAAAGACGGAGGGCAAAGGAGGGAUCUCCCUGUGGGCUCCACCAUUUGGAGAACAAUGGGAUCCAGAUAUAUAGCUUGUGUCUUACUAGAAUUGGUCUAAUUUCCAUUUAUAGAAAAGCAGCAUUAUAUUUCCUUACCUUCCAUAUUUCAGUACUUCCACAGCUUCCCUUAGUUGAUUUUCAAACAGUCAUCAGAGGGAGAAAAUUAUUCAGUAUCUGUAUACUUAACACCUAUGGCUGUGUGUCAUUUGGGUGACUUCCCUGAUCUUAUUUAACCUCUUCCCUCCCUUUCCUCUCCCCACCCCCAUUUGGUAAACUGUUCUCUGUUGCAUUUACUGCUUUCUCAAUCAACUUCCCCUAUAAUUGUUCUUCAGAUAAAUGCAAAAGCAACUUCACUGUUCCAACCAUGUUAAGUGUCUGUUAAUUGAAUUUUCAUUCCUAUUUCUUAACAGACAGAUUUUCUACCAAGUACAUCAAUUUCCUCAGUAUACUGGUAACCACCUAUCUACAAGGGAUGUUCCAAAAGUAUGGCCUCCUAUUUUAUUAUGUUGGCUUACGAUUUCAGAGGUGGAUGUUGGUGAUGUGACAGUAGAAGUUGAACAUUCUCACCAAUGUUGUUGCCAUGCAACAGAUGGCAGUGGAGGGGCAGUGUGACACAAUGGCAUCUGACGUGGAAGUGCACAGAAAGCAAAGAUCCGGUGAGAGCUGAGGCCAAGCAUGAACCUAUCCUGAAUUUAUCUCAAGUGCACUUCAGAUGCAGCGCAUGAUUGGAUCCCACCUGGUGUACUUGAAGAGCAGUCAUCCUUGAAAGAUAAACUCCUGACUUUUUUUCUUCCUUCUGAAAGCACGGAAAUGUUCAGUUCUGUUCUGCUCCUUUUUCUUGCCACUGAAGCAGUGUUUGUUGCCUCUAUAAAAUGGAACCAAACAAGAUGAUUAAAUGAUUCAUCAAAAAGAAAAACAGUAGUAGAUGGUCGCUGAUGAUUCU